CUUCCCUUCCUGAGUCCCUGUAUGAGCAGUUGCUUAAAGCUCCUUAAAAGAGACGUGGUAGCAUCCGUACAUCCAGGAGUGGCAAUUAUCUGGCUUUUCAGGAAAAGUUUAAUUUUUGGCACAAACCAAACUAUCUGAAAACGAUUCUAGUGAGAGAGAAGAGUUAAACCAAAAGGAUGUAAGUUAGAGCCUGCUCUUCUGGUAACGGUUGGUGGUGAAUUGCAAUGAUGGCCUGAUUCUUCAUCCUUGUAUCCUUUGCAUCUCUUUGCCUGUGACUGCAGUUUUUACUAAGAUGAUGGUGUCUAUUUCCCUGUCCCAUGAAUCUGAUCUGGCAUUGUCCCUUGUUUUGGUCAGUACAAUGCAGUGGUAGUGAGGCUACACCAGUUUAAGACCUCUGAGGUCAACAUGCUUCCACUUGCUGUCAAACCUCAGCCAUUGCCAUGAGAACAUGCCUGGGCUAGCCUGCUGGAGGUUGAGACACACGUGGAACUGAGUGGUUUUGCUCCAAUUUUCACAGCCAAGGUCAGUUAGAUAAACCAAGAAGCUACUGACCCUCCCCACUGCCCCAGACAUGUAAGUGAACCUAAUAAAGGUCAGCAGAGCUGCUUGGCUGGCCAUUCUGGAUAGAUGAAUAAUAAAUACUUGUCCUAUGCCACUGGAACUUUGUGGUUGUUAUGCAGCUCUGCUAUGAUAACAGAUAACUGAUACAGCUUGUACACGGAUUCAAAAGAGAAACUCCCAAUGCUGAACCAUCAUAACGUUGAUGUAACAAGGGAAUGAUGUUUCCAGGUGACCACUAGAAAGCUGUAACACACAUUUGGCUUUAUAUAUCCAAGUAAUUUGGGGGGCACCCUUCCUUUGUUCUACUGUAUCUUGUACUCAUUGUUUGCAAAUGAUCUUCUGCAUAGUCAUGGCUCUAUUAGACAAAAAUGUUCUGUAAGGGCAGAAGCCACAUCUUCCAGUUUUGCCUCCUUAGUAUCUGUCACAUAGAUCAUAGUUUCUAGCAAUUGUGUGUUUUUACUGACUUUGGUCUAAGCUUGUGUUUGAUGUGUAAUAUGUAAUUUUAAAAACACAAUUAAUGCAAUUCUUUGGCCAACACAUACAUGCACAUGUCAUCUUUCAAAAAGUGCACAGGUGUUUUCAGUAAUAAACGAUUCUUUCUCUCAUGACAUCUUUAAACCUUCACUUCCUUGGUAACACAAUUACCAGUUUCCCAUCAUUUUUUUCCCCCAGAGAAUGUGCAGUCAUUAAAAUAAGCUUUU
rnacentral:lncRNA from 1 species